CUGGUAACAGGAAAGAGAAGAAAAGUCUGUGGACAGAAUAGGCAAAGAGAAGAGGGGAAAAAGUAAAUAGCUAAGAUAAUCACAUUUUGAUGUAUUUAGAUGCAAAACAGAAGAAAGGAAGAACCAUGUGUGACUCAUGUCGAAUCUGAAGCCAGUGAUUAGAGGGUGAAGCAGAAUGAUGAAAUAGAGGAAGAGUUCUAUGAAGGGUGCAGAAGCAGAAGAUUGCCCUUUCAAGAACUUUUCGUGACCUUCUCCUAAGAAACUACCACUGGGCCCGGUAAAUGUUCAGAUAUGCAUCCGUCUAUCCUCUCAAAGGUUGGAAACCUUCAUUGCCAGCAACUGGAGGAUGCUGUCACGAGAAUACAACGAAGCAAACAGAAAGCCUACAAAGACACAGGUGAAGACAACAAAGAAUGUAAUUGUUCAUGUGGAAGGCCAAGAAAAGUUUUGUAAAGAGAGGCUGUGCUUCCUGAAGUGUCUACAGAUGGAUAUGGAAAAAGGAUGGGGAAUGCACUGGGCCAGUGAGCUUUCCAGGUAAAUCUGAAGAACUGAUACGGCGUACAUUGAAACAAAGGAACAGGUCUUUAAAGGCCUUCUGAAAUCCAACGUUGUGGUCUCCUCUCAUGUUUCAGGAGCCCUGAAAGGAGGUGGACCAUGGAGAAAGUCAGCCUGUGAUUGUCUCAUGUCCGUUGAAAAGUAAAGACCACAAGAUAAUGACGGAUUGUGGGUGAUCCUCUCCCAGUCUUGGAUGCUCAGUCAGGCUAUGGUGUUUGCCAGAAAUCAGUGAUAUUUCAGAACGUUGGAAGGUGACCCCAAGCGGAACUCGUGUAUUUUUUGUCACUUCAAAGCACCUAUGGACAGUCCUUUGCUUUACCAUACAAGACUAAGCUUAGGAAUGUUUUGUUUCAUUCGAGGUCAGGCUGCCUGCCUUUCCUCUGAGAUAUAGACCCUUUCCUCUGCUGCCUUAUUGCCAGGUACAUUAAAUACAGUAUAUGACAAGAGUUUAUUAAUACUGUACUGGGGUCAACAUCCGUACAAGUUCAUACAAUGGCCCCCAUACAGAAAAAGGUUGAAAAGAAAAGCAGUAAGAAAAAGGAUGAUUACGGUGGAGGUUAAAAGGAUAUCAGCAAGAAGUAUGAAUGAAGUACGCAAGUGGCCGAAAUUGCAAGAUUUCAUAAGGAGUCUGCGUCUGCAUCUCGUCUGCACAUGAGGAGGAGAAAAAGGCAGAAGACACCCUCACUUCAACUGACAUUAGGGAGAUGUGUCAAAUGUGGGAAACAUUGCAAAAUUUUAUAGACAAGCACCACCCGAAUAAAGAUGUAGCAGUGCAAGUGAUGAAUCGGUUUAACGACAAUGCAGCGUCACAGUUCCGCGAAAUCCUCAAAAGGAGGCAAAAGCAAGUGUCGUUGAAUAGGUUCUUGUUAAAGUUGCAUGACAAGAAAAAAAUUCCCUUGAGCCAAUAGAUAGCAGUGAUUCUACGAGUGAUAAUGAAAAUUGUCCCACACGAUAACCCUCCUCCCUUGUCACGAAGGCUCACACCAGCCACGAAGGUUUUCAAAGAGAGACAAAGAGAGAGCAUGAAGGAGAGGGAAAGAGAGAG